AGUGUAGGCGGCUGCGUAAGUCGGAUGCGAAAGCCCCGGGCUUAACCUGGGAAUUGCAUUCGAUACUGCGUGGCUAGAGUUUGGUAGGGGUAAGUGGAAUUCCGGGUGUAGCGGUGAAAUGCGUAGAUAUCCGGAGGAACAUCAGUGGCGAAGGCGGCUUACUGGACCAAAACUGACGCUGAGGCUCGAAAGCGUGGGGAGCAAACA
rnacentral:rRNA from 1 species